UAGGCAAGUACAAGUAUACACACAGGUAUGC
rnacentral:piRNA from 1 species